AGCCUAACUACACAACGUGUUAGUGUACAGACUCUCGGCUGGGAAGCCAGAAAAACCCCUUAAAAGACCCGCAUCUUUAACUCAACUCGGCUCACCUGGCCCCUGAUCCCGGGAAAUAACUCUUGGCUGUAAAUACUCUACUUUUGGUUAAAAACCAUUGAGAGCAAUCAACAUUCCAAAGGGAAAAAAAACAUCAGGCAAAAUAAGCAGAUUUUGAAAACUGACCAACUGACUGGCUGUGGAAGAUCAUGGAAAAAACAUGAAACAGAGGCAUCCAUGAGUACUAAAACCCAUUACAUCGUUCCAGAAACUUGGAAGUACAAGCUUUUGGCAUUUGCGGAGGCUGAGUUUAUUCAUUCAAAUGUGAAAUAGUUUUAUUUUCCAGCUAUAAAAUAUAGAUUAUGUCU